AUGUCGUGUUAUCGACAAGUGAAUUCAUAGCUUGUCAGAAGGCAGACCCGGAGAACUGAAACAUCUUAGUACCCGGAGGAAGAGAAAGAAAAAUCGAUUCCCUGAGUAGCGGCGAGCGAAACGGGAAGAGCCCAAACCAAUAAGCUUGCUUAUUGGGGUUGUAGGACACUCUAUACGGAGUUACAAAGGAAUAUAUUAGACGAAUCAUCUGGAAAGUUGAAUCAAAGAAGGUAAUAAUCCUGUAGUUGAAAAUAUAUUCUCUCUUGAGUGGAUCCUGAGUACGACGGAGCACGUGAAAUUCCGUCGGAAUCUGGGAGGACCAUCUC
rnacentral:rRNA from 1 species